rnacentral:misc_RNA from 1 species
UCUCCGUAGGUGAACCUGCGGAGGGAUCAUUACAGAGUUCUCGCCCUCGCGGGUCGAUCUCCAACCCACUGUUAUCGUUACUGUAUUGCUUUGGCGGGCCGCCGGGCCCCGCUCGGCCGCCGGCUCCGGCUGGCGCGCGCCCGCCAGAGGUACAGCAAACUCUGAAUGAUAGUGUCGUCUGAGUACUAUAUAAUAGUUAAAACUUUCAACAACGGAUCUCUUGGUUCUG